AUGCCAAAGAGGAAGUCACUAAUUUUUGUUUACUCAGAAAAAAUAGGGUGCCAUCCAACUCCUGUCUUCUAUAACAUGAUAAUGAUCAAAAGUUUAGCUGUAAAUCCUGUUAGACCAAGGACUCAAUCCAUUGAUCAAGACUGUCAAUAUAUUUUGACUUUGUUGUUUGUUCUGAUCCUGACCAGCAGAGGAUCAUGCUUCAACUUGAAUUUUGAGGAGUUCACUCCAGGAUUAAGUAUCUUAGCUCAUUAUGAUCUUUUCAUUGAUCUAUCAUUCCAAAUUUCAGGUAAUGGACCUGCUUGGUCCUAG
rnacentral:rRNA from 1 species